CGCUGGCGGCAUGCCUUACACAUGCAAGUCGAACGGCAGCACGGAGCUUGCUCUGGUGGCGAGUGGCGGACGGGUGAGUAAUAUAUCGGAACGUACCCAGGAGUGGGGGAUAACGUAGCGAAAGUUACGCUAAUACCGCAUACGUCCUAAGGGAGAGAGUGGGGGAUCGCAAGACCUCAUGCUCAUGGAGCGGCCGAUAUCUGAUUAGCUAGUUGGUGGGGUAAAGGCCUACCAAGGCAACGAUCAGUAGCUGGUCUGAGAGGACGACCAGCCACACUGGAACUGAGACACGGUCCAGACUCCUACGGGAGGCAGCAGUGGGGAAUUUUGGACAAUGGGGGCAACCCUGAUCCAGCAAUGCCGCGUGAGUGAAGAAGGCCUUCGGGUUGUAAAGCUCUUUUGUCAGGGAAGAAAAGGUCGCAGCUAAUAUCUGUGGCUCGUGACGGUACCUGAAGAAUAAGCACCGGCU
rnacentral:rRNA from 1 species